AUUUAGAUAAACCUCAUAGGAAUUCCAAAGAAACAAUAAGAAAUCUUAAAGAAAUAUUAGAAUGAUUACAAACAUAUCUCAAAUACAUCUCAAUUCAAUCUUAAUUUAAUCCUAGUUGAAAUCUUACAUCAUUCAAACUUUAGGCCAAAAACUAACUAAAUCUUAAAUCCUAAAAAAACAUAAAUAAAAUCCUAAAUCCUAAAUCAAAUCGUGAUUAAAUCCUAACCAAAUCUUAAAUCCUAACCAAAUCCUAAAUCCUAAAUCAAACCCUAACCAAAUCCUAAAUCCUAAACCCUAAACCAAACCCUAAUUCUAAAUCAAAUCCUAAUCAAAUCCUAAACCCUAAUCCUCAAUCAAAUCCUAAUAAAAUCCUAAUCUUAAUUCUAAAUCCUAAACCAAACCCUAACCAAAUCCUAACCCUAAAUCAAAUCUUAACCAAACCUUAACCCUAAAUCAAACCCUAACCAAACUCUAAAUCCUAAACCAAAUCUUAAUCCUAAAUCAAAUCCUAACCAAAUUCUAAUCCCUAAACCAAAUCCUAAUCCUAAAUCAAAUCCUAACCAAAUCCUAAACAAACCCUAGUCCUAAUCCUAAAUCCUAAACUAAACCCUAAUCAAACUCUAAUCCUAAAUCAAAUCCUAACCAAAUC
rnacentral:lncRNA from 1 species